rnacentral:rRNA from 1 species
GGACCCGCACAAGCGGUGGAUGAUGUGGAUUAAUUCGAUGCAACGCGAAGAACCUUACCUGGUCUUGACAUGUACGGAAUCUUUUAGAGAUAGAAGAGUGCCUUCGGGAACCGUAACACAGGUGCUGCAUGGCUGUCGUCAGCUCGUGUCGUGAGAUGUUGGGUUAAGUCCCGCAACGAGCGCAACCCUUGUCAUUAGUUGCUAGCAUUAAGUUGAGCACUCUAAUGAGACUGCCGGUGAUAAACCGGAGGAAGGUGGGGAUGAUGUCAAGUCCUCAUGGCCCUUAUGACCAGGGCUUCACACGUCAUACAAUGGUAGGUACAGAGAGUAGCCAAGCCGCGAGGUGGAGCCAAUCUCAGAAAGCCUAUCGUAGUCCGGAUUGUAGUCUGCAACUCGACUACAUGAAGUCGGAAUCGCUAGUAAUCGCAGAUCAGCAUGCUGCGUGAAUCG